rnacentral:rRNA from 1 species
GACGAACGCUGGCGGCGUGCUUAACACAUGCAAGUCGAACGGAAAGGCCUGCUUUCCCUUGUGGAUUGCGGGUACUCGAGUGGCGAACGGGUGAGUAACACGUGAGUGAUCUGCCCCCAACUUGGGUAUAAGCCUGGGAAACUGGGUCUAAUUCCCGAUAGGACUGCAGGGUGGUGCCUGUGGUGGAAAACGAUUUUCUAGUGGUUGGGGAUGAGCUCGCGGCCUAUCAGCUUGUUGGUGGGGUAAUGGCCUACCAAGGCGGCGACGGGUAGCCGGCCUGGGAGGGUGGACGGCCACAUUGGGACUGAGAUACGGCCCAGACUCCUACGGGAGGCAGCAGUGGGGAAUAUUGCACAAUGGGCGGAAGCCUGAUGCAGCGACGCCGCGUGGGGGAUGACGGCCUGCGGGUUGUAAACUCCUUUCGACCGCGAGGAAGCCACCUGGUUGGAAGGGUGGUGACGGUAGUGGUAGAAGAAGCACCGGCUAACUACGUG